rnacentral:hammerhead_ribozyme from 1 species
AUCUAGCUGAUGAGUCCCAAAUAAGACGAAACUUACGUCCUGAAU